rnacentral:tRNA from 1 species
GUUUUGGAAGCGAAUCUCGCGCUAAGUUUCGGCCUUAGAUCUGGAAAUUUUCCCCAAAAUU